rnacentral:snoRNA from 2 species
GAGCAAGGGCGCCUAACAAAUGUGACGAAACUUGCAUUGAAGGUUGGCGAAAUUAAAAAAGUUUCUGUGAUUCUCCGUGCCUAUCAAAUUUUUUAAUUUUGAAUACGGCCUCGAACAAAUCGCAACAUU